GGGAGGACUGGGAGGACCGAAGAAAGGAGGAGUGGGAGGACCGAAGAAAGGAGCUGACGGACAGGAGACGAAGGGAGAUAAAGGACAGAAGUCGUCUGAUGGAGUCCAGUCUAAGGUCCAGGGGACGAGGAAAAAGAAGAAAGGAAAGAAGAACUGAGAAGACCGAUGGAGAUGGGAAGACGGGCAGAUGAGAGGAAGGAGAAGACCGAUGUGUAUGAUAAUACUGUUCUGUUGCUUUCAGAUACGUGUGAUUUUGUAUUUCUUGGACAUUAUAAUAAAAACAAUUGAUUUAA